ensembl:lncRNA
GGCCGCACCUGUGGCACAUGGAGGUUCCCAGCUAGGGGUCUAAUUGGAACUACAGCUGCCAGCCUACAUCAGAGCCACAGCAACUCGGGAUUCGAGCUGCGUCUGCGACCUACACCAUAGCUCACGGCAACGCCGGGUCCUUAACCCACUGAGCGAGGCCAGGGAUCGAACCUGCAACCUCAUGGUUCCCAGUUGGGUUUGUUUCCGCUGUGCCACGACGGGAACUCCUCACAGUAUUUUCUUCUGUUCUCCUGCUUCAAACCCCUACACUGUGGGGUCCCCCGCUUUCUGGAACAUGUUCACUGGAGGGAAAACACUCCACAGAGUAAGCAUCUUGCCCAGUUGCCUGAGGCUACAUAACAGGCGAGACACACCGCCCUCGGAGGUAAGUGGGGGUGCAGGGCCGUCUACGGGGCCGCGCUGCCCAGCACGGUGGCCCCAGCCACACGUGGCUCUUUCAAUUUAAUUACAAUGAAAUAAAAAUAAAAACUCAUCUCAGUCGCAUGAGCCCCAUGUGAAUGAAUACCGGUGGCUCCGUGUGGCCCUCGGCUACUGACUUGGACACAACCACCAAACAGAAAUUUCCACCCUCCUAUGGCGCUGUGUUGGACACGUGGCUGAAAACCCCAGAACAAGGUCUCGACCUCCAGGAGCCAGGCAGCUCAGUGGGGUGCGGAGGCAGCAGGAGCUCCCUCCUUUCUCGUCUGCACGCACAGCCCAGCACCUCCCUGGGAUGUGUGUUGGGGAGAGAAGCGGCAGCCUGGGGACCCUGGGUGGCAGGGACUCAAGACCCAGCAUCUGAAUGUCAAAGGGACAGGCGUGAGGAGCCAGGCAUGGUGGGACCAGCGCGUGGUCUGGGCAGAGCUCGGGGAGGGGGCCUGGGGAGCGGCCAGCCCUGAGCAAGGCGCUCCCCUGCGGGGAGAGUGCCCCGCUCUGUCCCUGUCUCUCCCCUUUACAGCCCUGCCCCGCAGCCUCCUCAUCUGCACGCGUGGCAGCAGGUCCCCCAUCGGCACGCCUGCCUCGGGAAGGCCUGCAGCGUCACCUGGUGUCUGGGAUGUUUCGCCGAAGGAGGGAGCGAAGGAGCCGGGGCGGAAGAUGGGAUCUGCCCCUGGGCCAGGCCACGCCAGGGGCAGCGGGGCUGGCACGGAGAGAAGGCGGCGGGGGGACCCGUGUGACGGGGUGGCAGGAACCAGGAUGGGGCAAAAGACGUUCAAAGAAACAUCAGGCCCAAAGAAUGGCCUGCACUGGGUGAGUGACUGGCCCUGGGGGGCGAUGAGGGCGACCACCCCUCCUGCCCGCAGUUGCCUGCUCUGCCCGGCAUCCUUCCGCCCUCAGAUAAGCGCCAGCCUGAGCAAAGGGACCCCGUGCCCAGCUCCCACCCCGCCUCCUGUGGCAAAAGCCACGCUGCGGGACCCUCUGCAGUAACUGGCCUGUGAGGCCAGGGCUGUCCAGGUUGUGGGGGCCCCUCGGGACGGAGGCGGGAGCCCUCGGGUCUCGCCGAGUGGAGUGGGUGGGGCGGCCGUGUGCAGAACCCGGCUGGCCCCAGGGAGUCUGGGAGUGAUGUCCCGUGAAUUCGUUUCACGGUUUUCUAGAACUUAUUCGGAAAUAGAAAAACAUUUGUAAAGAUUUUAAAUUUAAUUUAGAAACUCUAGUUUUGGGAGCGCUAACUCGUCCUGGUCCCUGCCCCGGGCCUAGCUGCCCGCACAGGGCCGGAGCGGCCGGGCCGGGGCCNNNNNNNNNNNNNNNNNNNNNNNNNNNNNNNNNNNNNNNNNNNNNNNNNNNNNNNNNNNNNNNNNNNNNNNNNNNNNNNNNNNNNNNNNNNNNNNNNNNNNNNNNNNNNCCUGCUGACGUGGGUAGAGCAACAAUGGCCCGAUAUUUAGAGGCAACCACGAAAGGCAGCUCUAAGCACCAAACCUUACCGGCUUCAUCUAAAAACAGUUCAUGACUGGAGUUCCCUUUGCGGCUCAGUGGUUAGUGAACCUGACUAGGAUCCACGAAGAUGCGGGUUCGAUCCCUGGCCUCGCUCAGUGAGUUAAGGAUCCCGUUUGGAUCCCGACUCAGCUUGGAUACGGCAUUGCUGUGGCUGUGGUGUAGGCCUGUGGCUACAGCUCCAAUUUGACUCCUAUCCUGGGAACUUCCAUAUGCUGUGGGUGCAGCCCUGAAACAACAACAACAACAACAACAACAACAACAACAACAACAACAAAAAAAGAGAGAGCGAGCACGAGAGUAGAAGAGAAAGUCCUUGGGACACCUGAUUCAUGGCUCUACCGUCCCCACGCUCCACUGGUACCUGCCGUCCUGCCACCGGUUUGGUUUUACAGGCCUUUCAGGGAAUUCCUCAUUUUUGCUUCAGCAAGUCUGAGUUGACUUUCUGUCACUCAUUUACCCGAACAGCCUGGGCAACGGAGGGACUGAGGGCUUGAAGAAAUGCAACGUGCGUGCAUAUCCCCUUUGCUCAAAUGUCACCUUCCUCUGCAUGACAACAGUGACCGAGUGUGUGCUCACGUGCCCAGGGAAGGUAAAUGACCGGCUUUUUUUGGCCGCCCCGCGGCACAUGGAGACUCCGCACCUGGGAUCGGAUCCAAGCUGAGCUGCCACCUAGGCCGCAAGUGCGGCAAUGCCAGAUCCUUAACCCACUGUGCCGGGCCGGGGAUCGAACCUGCAUCCCAGGGCUCCCAAGAUGCCGCCAAUCCCAGGGCACUACAGCAGGAACUCCGGUAAACGACACACCUUCAUCAGAGCCACUGCAGGUGUGCUUUAGUUCACGUAAGAAAUUGCCAAGAGAGGUGGGAUGCAAAGAGCAUUAUUCAGCUAAGAAAGAGAAUGUAGGCUUGGAUUGUGGCGCGUCCCACAGAGCAACACUUUGGCCACUCUUUUGUGAAAACAGCGGGGAAUGUAAAACAUCUUCUGUGAAAAUCCAGAUGAUGCUAAUAACUUUGUUCAAAGUGACUGCGUCCCCUGCCUUGGUUUUCUGUACCCGGCUGUGGACAGGAGGAAAGGAGGCUGUCGGUCCCGGCGGAUGCAGUCAGCGGCAAUCCCAACGACCCCGAAGUCCAGCUUCUCAAAAUCUCAAAAAACAACGUCAAACAAAACAAACACCCUUGACGUGACAGCGUGGCUGGAGAAGAAACCCCACACCUUGUUCAUGAGGUGAUGAAUGUACUACUUGUAAUACGGGCAACAGGAAAAAAACCCUCGGGAUUCAAUAUAUUAACUCCUUCACGAAAAGAAAGCAAAACGACCAUUGCCCCAGAGGAGAAUCACGGCUUCUGCGCCCCCCAGUUUUGUCCUGUCCAAACAUUCCUUUAUGAAAGACGUCACUUUUGCACAAGUAGGAAAAAUAAAACCCAGCCAGGCUGGGGUAAGGGACCUCCGCCCAAUGUUCCGGGGUGACCUAGAGGGGAAAAGCAUCUGUAGGAGAACGGACAUGUGGGUCUGUGGGACUGAAUCGCUUUGCUGUAGAGCAGAAAUCAUCCCCACACUGCAAAUCAACUAGACUUCAAUAAACCUUCACAAGAAAAAAAAAAAAGAAGAACGAAAUAGUUUGGGGUAAAACUUUCCCACAGAGGUGUCUUUAUGCAGACCAGAUGCUGAAGCAUCAGAAAUAUCCAUGCACACGUCUCCCAACGGCACGUCUGCCUGAGUUGCUCGUGACGCGUGGGGGGCGUUACUGGUAGUUUCUUUAGGACUAAAAUCAUUUUAGGGCAAUGACGGCUACUAAACUCCCGGCCUGUCCCUCGGUGCCAGUGGGCAGCAUUGCCCAGGGGUGUCCACUGCCCCCCCCGCUGUCCUGGUCAAAUGCCAUUUCCAACCUUUUCUCACAGGAAAGACCUCGGUGGGUAUUAAACCCUUUGUAUCAGAUACACAGAUGCAUCAUCUCGAGCGUCUCCGUAGAGGUUUUCGAAGCCAGCAAUACAUCCAUUCAGCUCUGCAAGGCUGAGCGGCCCUCUCCUGUCUGCUCCGGCAACACCCGCAACAUCGGUGGCAGAGAUGCCAAGCUCCUGCCCUCUGAGCUGCCCCUGGAGCUCUCUCCCCUGACUUGGCCAAAUCCGCCCUGCCGCACUUCUCCAGGCAAACGGCGGCCAAGGACAGACUUGGCACUUGAGAUGAAAGCAACUGCCACGUCUGGUAACCCCCUCGCCUUCCGGAGGCACCGAUACAGCCAGACAAGGGGAGACUGGUCACAGGGCGUGCGGCCCCAAGGGCAAGGCUGACACUCGAGGGGCGUCUGCAGACCCUGGGCCUCCGCCCGGGGCCCCACCAUCUCCAGCUCCUGUCUCAUGAGAGGGCCCCCUCGGGACCAGAACACAGGCACCAGCCUCUCGCUGAGCCUAUCGCGGGCGUGCCGCAGGGGCAGGGGUGCUUGCUCUGCUCCCGGCUCUUCUUUAGCCUGCAGCUUGCGCGCACUCAGAGGCUGCAGGCGGUUCGGGUUACGGCCUCUGAAAACGCCUUCCCAAGCAGACCGUCUCCUCCAGACUGCUCAGCUCUCAGGCCCCGGGUGCGACCGGGCGGCCAGGGGCCCACUCGGCUGGGGCUGCCCCUGGACUGCACGGAGCAGAGCGCGGCCUCGCCCACCCAGAGCUGAGGGUGAAGUCGGAAGGUGAGGGUUCUCAGCCUUAAGGCCGUCCAUCCUUCUCCCCGGACUUCCUUCCAGGCCACUAUACGGACCACACGGGCACGGGACGCAGGAAACCCUCCUGAAACCCACCGUGAGGCAUCAGAUGGCUGCUGAGGACAGGCCAAAAUGGGCGGCACUGCCCGGGGGGAGGGGAGGGGAGCCCGGCGCGUCAGGCUUCUGACCGCCCACAGCGGCAUCAUGGAAGAGCUCACGCCAGGGGUCAGGCCACACUGGGUCCCCGCCUGGUCCUUCCGGGGCAUGUGACCUGGGACCCCCCCCCCCCCCC